GAUGAACGCUGGCGGCGUGCCUAAUACAUGCAAGUCGAACGAGGUGCUUUUGUAGCAAUACGAGAGUAUCCUAGUGGCGAACGGGUGAGUAACGCGUUGGUGACCUGCCCCAAAGUGUGGGAUAACAGUCCGAAAGGAUUGCUAAUACCGCAUGUGGUCAUUGGGUUUAGAAACUAAUGACUAAAGCAGUAAUGCGCUUUGGGAGGGACCUGCGUCCCAUCAGCUAGUUGGUGAGGUAAUGGCUCACCAAGGCGACGACGGGUAGGGGACCUGAGAGGGUGACCCCCCACAAUGGAACUGAAACACGGUCCAUACACCUACGGGUGGCAGCAGUAGGGAAUAUUGCUCAAUGGGCGAAAGCCUGAAGCAGCAACGCCGCGUGCGCGAUGAAGGUCUUCGGAUCGUAAAGCGCUUUUCUGCGAGAUGAGAAAGGACAGUAUCGUAGGAAUAAGUCUCGGCUAACUACGUGC
rnacentral:rRNA from 1 species